rnacentral:rRNA from 1 species
GACGAACGCUGGCGGCGUGCUUAACGCAUGCAAGUCGAGCGGUAAGGCCCUUUCGGGGGUACACGAGCGGCGAACGGGUGAGUAACACGUGGGUGACCUGCCCUUAGCUCUGGGAUAAGCCUGGGAAACUGGGUCUAAUACCGGAUAUGACUCCAUAACGCAUGUUGUGGGGUGGAAAGCCUUGUGCGGCUAGGGAUGGGCCCGCGGCCUAUCAGCUUGUUGGUGGGGUGAUGGCCUACCAAGGCGACGACGGGUAGCCGGCCUGAGAGGGCGACCGGCCACACUGGGACUGAGACACGGCCCAGACUCCUACGGGAGGCAGCAGUGGGGAAUCUUGCGCAAUGGGCGAAAGCCUGACGCAGCGACGCCGCGUGGGGAUGACGG